AGCGAACGCUGGCGGCAGGCCUAACACAUGCAAGUCGAGCGCCCAGCAAUGGGAGCGGCAGACGGGUGAGUAACGCGUGGGGAUCUACCCAUUGGUACGGAAUAACCCAGGGAAACUUGGACUAAUACCGUAUGUGCCCUUCGGGGAAAGAUUUAUCGCCAAUGGAUGAACCCGCGUCGGAUUAGCUAGUUGGUGAGGUAAAGGCUCACCAAGGCGACGAUCCGUAGCUGGUCUGAGAGGAUGAUCAGCCACACUGGGACUGAGACACGGCCCAGACUCCUACGGGAGGCAGCAGUGGGGAAUAUUGGACAAUGGGCGCAAGCCUGAUCCAGCCAUGCCGCGUGAGUGAUGAAGGCCUUAGGGUUGUAAAGCUCUUUCGCCGGUGAAGAUAAUGACGGUAACCGGAGAAGAAGCCCCGGCUAACUUCGUGCCAGCCGCCGCGGUAAGAC
rnacentral:rRNA from 1 species